rnacentral:lncRNA from 1 species
UGGAGAGAGGAACCCUGAACGUCAGGACUCCACAGAGCAGAGGCUUCAGAAUGUGGGAGUGGGAAGCAAGUUGUUGGUGGCUUCUCAGCCAGGACUCUCCUGGAGCCUGUCAGGAGGAUACCCCUCUUUCAUGAACUUUUGUCAUCUGAGAUUCACCAGGGUAACACUCACUCAUGAGAUACAGAACAGAGGGAUAAAGAAGGGAGCAGAGGAAAUGUCAAUGCACCAGCAACCAAGUGUCCUCCCUAACCAUGUCAAACAGCAAGCCACGCCAUCAAGAAGCUCAGAAAACGCCAGUCAGGACAAGUGCUGUCGUAGUCACGUUUCUAUUGUCGUGACAAAACUCCGCAACUAACACAGCUUAUGGAGGGAAGCAUUUAACUGGCAUCAGAGUCCAUGAUGACGGAGCAAAGGCCCCGCAGGAACAACUGAAGGGUCACAUCCUGAUCUGUAAGUAGGAGGCAGAGAGAAGUCCACGGGGAGUGGCGUGAGUCUUUUGAAGCCUGGAAACCUAGGACACACCUCCUAAUCCUCUCCAAACUGUUCCACCAACUGAAGACCAAGUCUUCAAACCUAUGAGCCUACAAGGGCCACUCCCACUCACACUGCUAAGAAAAACACCUUCCUUCAACUCUGAGCCUCCUGCUUACAACGCCCAGAGUGUGGGGAGACGAGGCCGACUGCAGGAGGGUGCCUGCAGAAGCCGUGCCCGGUAAAGCAGUUACCUGAAAAGGACUCCCACACUCAGCAAAAACGGUGAGCGAGAAAGAAACUGUCCAAAGAUCUGGACAGACGCCUUGAUGAAGAGGACAGAUUGCAGACAGCAAGCAGAAGGAUGCUGGGCUCCCAUCACUGCUGUUUAGUGAAACCCGGGGGAUGUCAAUGUUUGUAGCCGCUGGGUUUAUAAUUACUGGAACCCGGAAGCAACUGGGGUAUUCUUAAAGAGUAAUGGGAGAAUAGGUGUAGUCCAUCCAGGGGGUAGACCACUACUCCUUAGCAGGAAGAAAUGAGACAUUAUUCCUGGAAAACAUGGGGGAACUGAAACGUAUGUGACUACGUAGCCAGACAGUCUGAAGAGACUAGACCCUGUGUGAUCCCAACACUAGGAUAUUCUGACAAAGACAGAAAACAUCCCCAAGAUCAGUGACUUCUGGGGGCUCAGCACAAAGGGUUAAAUAGGGGCUCCCUGGGGAGAAGAUACAGAAGAUACAGGUCCCUGGGAACCUCUACUUCAGCCUGAUUUUAUUGUAAACCUAAAAGUAUCCCCAAAAUAAAGUUUACUAAUUUAAAGAAAAACGUAUAAA